rnacentral:rRNA from 1 species
AAUCAACGCUGGCGGCGUGCCUCAGACAUGCAAGUCGAACGCGAAAGUUUCCUUCGGGAGAUGAGUAGAGUGGCGCACGGGUGAGUAACACGUGAGUAAUUUACCUUCGGGUGGGGAAUACUAACCGGAAACGGUUGUUAAUACCGCAUAAUGCAGCGGCAUCAAUGAUGACAGUUGUUAAAGCGGGGGAUUGGAGCAAUCCGACCUCGCGCCUGAAGAGAAGCUCGCGGCAGAUUAGCUAGUUGGUAAGGUAAUGGCUUACCAAGGCGACGAUCUGUAACCGGCCUGAGAGGGCGGUCGGUCACACUGACACUGAAUAACGGUCAGACUCCUACGGGAGGCAGCAGUCGGGAAUUUUGGGCAAUGGGCGCAAGCCUGACCCAGCAACGCCGCGUGAAGGAUGAAGC